rnacentral:rRNA from 1 species
CUUCACUCUAACUUGGUACUGAGUUGUAUGAUAUGAUGUGCAGGAUAGGUGGGAGACUAUGAGAGGGGGGCGUCAGCCCUUCUGGAGUCGUUGUUGAGAUACCACCCUUCAUAUUAUGCAACUCUCACCCCUUUAUUGGGGGACCGUGCUUGGUGGGGAGUUUAACUGGGGCGGUUGCCUCCUAAAAUGUAACGGAGGCGCACAAAGGUGGGCUAAUUCCGGAUGGAAAUCGGAAUGAUAGUGUAUUCGCAUAAGCCCGCUUGACUGAGAGACCAACAAGUCGAUCAGAGACGAAAGUCGGUGAAAGUGAUCCGGCACCAACACGUGGGAGUGGUGUCGCUCAACGGAUAAAAGUUA